rnacentral:rRNA from 1 species
AACGAACGCUGGCGGCAGGCUUAGCACAUGCAAGUCGAACGCAUCCUUCGGGGUGAGUGGCAGACGGGUGAGUAACGCGUGGGAACGUGCCCUUCAGUUCGGGAUAACCCAGGGAAACUUGGGCUAAUACCGGAUACGUGCGAGAGCGGAAAGAUUUAUCGCUGAAGGAUCGGCCCGCGUCUGAUUAGCUAGUUGGUGGGGUAAUGGCCCACCAAGGCGACGAUCAUUAGCUGGUCUGAGAGGAUGAUCAGCCACAUUGGGACUGAGACACGGCCCAAACUCCUACGGGAGGCAGCAGUGGGGAAUAUUGGACAAUGGGCGCAAGCCUGAUCCAGCCAUGCCGCGUGAGUGAUGAAGGCCUUAGGGUUGUAAAGCUCUUUCGUCCGGGACGAUAAUGACGGUACCGGAAGAAGAAGCCCCGGCUAACUUCGUGCCAGCCGCCGCCGUAA